UACGGAGGGGGCUAGCGUUGUUCGGAAUUACUGGGCGUAAAGCGCGCGUAGGCGGACCUGCAAGUCGGGGGUGAAAGCCCGAGGCUCAACCUCGGAACUGCCUUCGAUACUGCGGGUCUCGAGUCCGGGAGAGGUGAGUGGAAUUCCUAGUGUAGAGGUGAAAUUCGUAGAUAUUAGGAAGAACACCAGUGGCGAAGGCGGCUCACUGGACCGGUACUGACGCUGAUGCGCGAAAGCGUGGGGAGCAAACAGG
rnacentral:rRNA from 1 species